rnacentral:rRNA from 1 species
CCUACGGGUGGCUGCAGUCGAGGAUCUUCGGCAAUGGGCGCAAGCCUGACCGAGCGACGCCGCGUGCGCGACGAAGGCCCUCGGGUUGUAAAGCGCGAAGGGGGGGAGGAAGGGAGACUUGACCGACCCCCAGUAAGCACGGGCUAAGUUCGUGCCAGCAGCCGCGGUAAGACGAACCGUGCGAACGUUGUUCGGAAUCACUGGGCUUAAAGGGCGCGUAGGCGGCCCGACGCGUCCGGGGUGAAAUGCCGCAGCCCAACUGCGGCACUGCCUCG